rnacentral:sRNA from 1 species
CCAACCAAUAUUAUGGUGACACGUUCUGUUUCUUCCAGUAUCAGAAAAAUGUCUUCUCACAGACAUCAAAGCCACAGUGUCUCUCCUGUUCAGCGCAUUAAUUCCCAUUUUUCUAUUUUUUAA